AGAGUUUGAUCAUGGCUCAGGACGAACGCUGGCGGCGUGCUUAACACAUGCAAGUCGAACGGAAAGGCCCUUCGGGGUACUCGAGUGGCGAACGGGUGAGUAACACGUGGGUGAUCUGCCCUGCACUCUGGGAUAAGCCUGGGAAACUGGGUCUAAUACCGGAUAGGACCGCAUGCUUCAUGGUGUGUGGUGCAAAGCUUUUGCGGUGUGGGAUGAGCCCGCGGCCUAUCAGCUUGUUGGUGGGGUAUUGGCCUACCAAGGCGACGACGGGUAGCCGGCCUGAGAGGGUGACCGGCCACACUGGGACUGAGAUACGGCCCAGACUCCUACGGGAGGCAGCAGUGGGGAAUAUUGCACAAUGGGCGCAAGCCUGAUGCAGCGACGCCGCGUGAGGGAUGACGGCCUUCGGGUUGUAAACCUCUUUCAGUAGGGACGAAGCGAAAGUGACGGUACCUACAGAAGAAGGACCGGCCAACUACGUGCCAGCAGCCGCGGUAAUACGUAGGGUCCGAGCGUUGUCCGGAAUUACUGGGCGUAAAGAGCUCGUAGGUGGUUAUAUAAGACAGAUGUGAAAUCCCCGGGCUCAACCUGGGAACUGCAUUUGUGACUGUAUAGCUAGAGUACGGCAGAGGGGGAUGGAAUUCCGCGUGUAGCAGUGAAAUGCGUAGAUAUGCGGAGGAACACCGAUGGCGAAGGCAAUCCCCUGGGCCUGUACUGACGCUCAUGCACGAAAGCGUGGGGAGCAAACAGGAUUAGAUACCCUGGUAGUCCAA
rnacentral:rRNA from 1 species